rnacentral:rRNA from 1 species
GAUGAACGCUGGCGGCGUGCCUAAUACAUGCAAGUCGAGCGAACGGACGAGAAGCUUGCUUCUCUGAUGUUAGCGGCGGACGGGUGAGUAACACGUGGAUAACCUACCUAUAAGACUGGGAUAACUUCGGGAAACCGUAGCUAAUACCGGAUAAUAUUUUGAACCGCAUGGUUCAAAAGUGAAAGACGGUCUUGCUGUCACUUAUAGAUGGAUCCGCGCUGCAUUAGCUAGUUGGUAAGGUAACGGCUUACCAAGGCAACGAUGCAUAGCCGACCUGAGAGGGUGAUCGGCCACACUGGAACUGAGACACGGUCCAGACGCCUACGGGAGGCAGCAGUAGGGAAUCUUCCGCAAUGGGCGAGAGCCUGACGGAGCAACGCCGCGUGAGUGAUGAAGGUCUUCGGAUCGUAAAGCUCUGUUAUUAGGGAAGAACAGAUGUGUAAGUAACUGUGCACAUCGUGACGGUACCUAAUCAGAAAGCCACGGCUAACUACGUG